rnacentral:SRP_RNA from 1 species
GCCGGGUGUGGUGGCACGUGCCUGUAAUUCCAGCUACUUAGGAGGCUGAGACAGGAGAAUUGCUUGAACCCAGGAGGCAGGGGUUGCAGUGAGCAGAGAUCAUGCCACUGCACUCCAGCCUGGGCGACAGAGCAAGACUCUGUCUCGA